CUGGGUGAUUGACGCGUCUAUAGAACCGCGAGAGCCAGUAGAAUCGACGGGCAGCCAUUUUACAUGCGACUUCCGCCUGUGUAGUCGAAGUAGGACCGACCAGGCGGAGUAAUAUCUUGAAAUGACGAGCGGUCUUUGUGCUGAGCUAACGGAAUUGGAUUUCUGGAGCAAAACACAACUUUUCCGGCAAAUACUUCGACGGUGAAAUGACCAAGGGGGCUGAAUUUUUGAUGCCAUCAUUGGGACAGGGGCUGAAGAACGGAAAGAGCUGUUCGGUGAAGUUACAGCCGCUGAAGGAGAAGAUGUUCACUCUGGCAUCGACAUCGUAGAAGGAAACUUGACCCUCCUUGUAGUCCAUGAACACCCCGACCCUGUGAACCUUCUUCCUCACAUCGAGCCACGUCUUCCUCGAGCCUCACCUCCAUGCCGCGGCUACCAUAAAACAUUCAAACGACAUUGGAUCAGAUGGGGAUUCCCUUUGAUCCUGGUCUGUGCGGAGCUCCGGGAUCUGAGCCUUUCUUCUCCUACGCAGGAACCAAUGAUAGGUUCACUGAAAGAUGAGAGGGACUCAGGGCUUCUUCCCUGUACUUUUUUCCCCCUUACCCACCCCUUCCAUCUCUUAACCACCAGUGCUCUUCUUUGCCCCUUCACCCCUGUUCCCGGACCCAUUGGACUCUCGCUUGUAGCUGCUCUUCUCUUCUCUCACCUUCAGCGCAUGAAUAAGAGAUUAUAGGAGCUCAGGGUGCUGGAGGACACGGACCUCCCUCUACUAGAAUUGAAUUCCUCCUGAGAGGUGUCUGCUCAGUUUCUGACUAAAUGUAAGUCUACAGUAAAGCCUGAACUCAGCAAUCACAUUCUCUAGCCCAAGAGAUAAUCUGUAAUACACUCUGAAGGAUGGACUGCAGGUUCAACUGAGUAAUUAGAGGUCAAUAUUAACAAAACCGCAUGAUAUUAUUAUUAUUUCAUGAUGCAUGAUGCAGCCAAUGAGUUUAAAAAUGGUUUCAAAGAAAUGAUUUCAAAGAUGGCGGACUAAACCACAACCACUGUUUUAUUCCUGUGCAAACAUUUUCAGCUGAAGUUAAUCAAGCUUCUGACAAACCUGUGUAAAGCUGUUUUCAGAAAUGAAUUCCUUUCACAUUUGACGAACCCAGCGGGAGAUUUUUUUCGAGUCAGACGUGUUCACACCAAUAAGAAAGUCUCCGGGUCAUUCUGUGGUGUCUGAGUAAAACCGCAGGAGGCAGGACAUGACGAUAAUAGUGUUUUUGUAUACAGUCAUACACACGCCCACUUGCUCGCCAGGAAUGUUCCUUCUGUAUGCUCACUCCGGGGGGUGGGGGCUGGCAGGAAAACUCCUGGAAAUUGUCCAGGUGUAUUAUUUGUGGCCAUUUGUGUUCUCGCAUACAGCCCCUCGGGAAAAUUUCCAGAAAAUGACGGGACUUCAGUGAAUGUCUGAAGCAAUCUUAGGUAUAUAUAUAAUAAAAUUUUGCUCAUAACAAGGAUUGUGCAGAUUGUCUUGUUAUGUUACAGUGUUGUGGUGGAAAAAGCUGUUGCUAUAUAUCUGACCAGUACAAACGGGUGGAAUGAAAAUGGAAAAUGAUUAUUCUUUCAAGAUCAACUGGCAUGUAG